rnacentral:rRNA from 1 species
GACAGAGGUGCCGAGCGUUAGGCGGAAUCACUGGGCUUAAAGCGUGUGUAGGCGGGUCGUUAAGUGUCUUGUGAAAUCCCACCGCUCAACGGUGGAACUGCUGGGCAUACUGGCGAUCUUGAGCCACCUAGGGGCGGACGGAACAAGCGGUGGAGCGGUGAAAUGCGUAGAUAUCGCUUGGAACGCCGACGGUGAAAACAGUCUGCUGGGGGUGUGCUGACGCUGAGACACGAAAGCCAGGGGAGCGAACGGG